rnacentral:rRNA from 1 species
CUCGUAGGCGGUCUGUCACGUCGGGAGUGAAAACACGGGGCUUAACCCCGUGCCUGCUUCCGAUACGGGCAGACUAGAGGUAUGCAGGGGAGAACGGAAUUCCUGGUGUAGCGGUGAAAUGCGCAGAUAUCAGGAGGAACACCGGUGGCGAAGGCGGUUCUCUGGGCAUUACCUGACGCUGAGGAGCGAAAGUGUGGGGAGCGAACA